AUUGAACGCUGGCGGCAUGCCUUACACAUGCAAGUCGAACGGUAACAGGUCUUCGGAUGCUGACGAGUGGCGAACGGGUGAGUAAUACAUCGGAACGUGCCCAAUCGUGGGGGAUAGCUCGGCGAAAGCCGGAUUAAUACCGCAUACGAUCUACGGAUGAAAGCAGGGGAUCGCAAGACCUUGCGCGAAUGGAGCGGCCGAUGGCAGAUUAGGUAGUUGGUGGGGUAAAGGCUCACCAAGCCGACGAUCUGUAGCUGGUCUGAGAGGACGACCGGCCACACUGGGACUGAGACACGGCCCAGACUCCUACGGGAGGCAGCAGUGGGGAAGUUUGGACAAUGGGCGCAAGCCUGAUCCAGCAAGGCCGCGUGCAGGAUGAAGGCCUUCGGGUUGUAAACUGCUUUUGUACGGAACGAAAAGGCUCUGGUUAAUACCUGGGGCUCAUGACGGUACCGUAAGAAUAAGCACCGGCUAACUACGUGCCAGCCGCCGCAGUAAGAC
rnacentral:rRNA from 1 species